rfam:TPA: Bos taurus chromosome 23, whole genome shotgun sequence.
UUAAAGGCCCUUUUUAGGGCCCGCCAAGUUUUCAUUGAAAGAGUUA